UCCUCCUGAGCAGCCAUGCUAAGCGCUGCCCGACUGUGAGGCCUGAAUGUGGGCUCAGCCCCAGUCUGGCCUCCCCUCCUCUCCCUGGAAGUCAGUUAGUAUACCAGGGGCACGAAAAACAAAAAAAAUUGAAAGUAUUG